rnacentral:lncRNA from 1 species
UGGGUAAACACGAGAGUGUACUACAAUGCCCAAGCUGUGGAGCAUCCCUCUCAAGCCGUGUGUUCAUUUGCUACAUUCCCAGAUCAGCAUUGCACAUUUAUGAUGAGUUUAGAUAAGAGCUUUGUACCUAGAUCACAUGAGGAAGCAAUGCUACAUGAAGACUGGAAGGAAUCAGUUGAUGAUGAGGCCAAUGCUAUGAUUAAAAAUGAUACAUGGUAUGAGAGUGAGUUACCAAAGGGAAAGAAGGCAGUAAGCAGCAAGUGGAUAUUCACAAUCAAGUAUAAGCCUGAUGGAACCAUUGACAGAAAGAAAACAAGACUGGUUGCUAGAGGAUACACUCAGACCUAUGGAGAAGAUUACAUAGAUACAUUUGCUCCUGUUGCCAAGCUACAUACAAUCAGAAUUGUAUUAUCUGUUGCUGUAAACCUUGGAUGGGAGCUAUGGCAAAUGGAUGUGAAGAAUGCAUUUCUCCAAGGAGAACUAGAAGAUGAGGUGUAUAUGCACCCACCACCAGGUCUUGAGCAUCUAGUGAAGCCAGGAAACGUUUUGAGACUCAAGAAGGCAAUCUAUGGACUAAAACAGUCCCCUAGAGCAUGGUACAACAAGCUAAGUACUACACUAAAUGGGCGUGGCUUCAGGAAGUCAGAACUUGAUCAUACCCUUUUCACUCUCACAACACCUUCAGGUAUUAUUUGUCUACUUGUUUAUGUUGAUGACAUCAUUAUAACAGGUAGUGAUAAGGAUGGGAUAAAAGCCACAAAGGAGUUUUUAAAAUCUGUGUUUGAAAUUAAAGACUUGGGAGAAAUGAAAUACUUUCUUGGAAUUGAGUUGUGUAGAUCCAAGGAAGGGUUAUUCAUUUCCCAAAGGAAGUAUACACUUGAUCUUUUGAAAGAUGCAGGUAUACAAGGAGAUAAGACAGCAAGGAUGCCUCUUGAAGAUGGAUACAAGAUUCCACGUGAGGGGGAGCUUGAAGAUAGCAAGGCUUUCCAUGAUCCCAAGCUGUAUAGGAAGCUAGUAGGGAAGCUCAUCUAUCUCACCAUCACAAGACCGGAUAUAUGCUUUGCCGUGAAUCAAGUGAGUCAGCAUAUGCAAGUUCCAAAAGAGCAUCAUUGGCGGAUGGUGGAGAGACUACUUCUGUAUCUGAAUGGAACAUCAAGUCUUGGAGUGUGGAUGGGAUGCAACAAGAGUACUGAAGUAGUAGGCUACUGUGAUGCGGAUUGGGCUGGUGAUCGAGCUGACAGAAGAUCAACCACCGGAUAUUGCACAUUCAUUGGAGGCAACUUAGUGACUUGGAAAAGCAAGAAGCAGAAGGUGGUAUCUUGUUCAAGUGCUGAAGCUGAGUAUAGAGCAAUGCUGAAGCUGACCAAUGAGUUGGUAUGGAUCAAGGGGAUCUUGAAGCAUUUGGAGAUAGAGCAAACAACUCCAAUGACGAUGCACUGUGAUAAUCAAGCAGCUAUACACAUUGCAACCAAUUCAGUCUUUCAUGAGAGAACCAAGCACAUUGAAGUGGAUUGUCACAAGGUGAGGCAGAUGAUUGUCUUGGGAGUUAUCUUGCCAUGCUAUACAAGGAGUGAGGAUCAAUUGGCGGAUGUAUUUACCAAGGCUGCAAGACAAAAGACUAUGGAGUCCAUUCACAUCAGAUUAGGACUCAUAGAUCUUAAGGCAAGGAGCUGAGCCCCUAGUCAUGAGGUCUUUACUCUUUUUCCCUCAUCAAAGUUUUGUCCCAAUGGGUUUUCUUUGGUGAGGUUUUUAAUGAGGAAGAUCUCAUGGCUGUCCAAGCUUAACUGAUGGGAUAGUUAAGCUUGAGGGGGAGUGUUGAGUUAGAAGAGACUUAUGGAUCAAGGAAUGAUGGAUAAGUGGAGAAGAAGCAAGGUAGAGGAAUCCGUACAAGAGAGGCCGUACAAGGCCGUACACUUGGUACGGAUGGAGCAACCACAAGGAGAAGUAUCUCGGCCAAGAAGUUACCAAAGUGAAAGUAACUUAGCCAAAGUUACCUUUACCUUUGGUUGUGGAUCAGCUUGAAUCAAAAGGAAGAAGAGCGCGGACUGACAGGCUGGAACAGCUGUAAAGGAAGAGCAUCUAGCUAGAUCCUUUUGGCAUCAAGCGUGUGAGCCAUCCUAGCCGGUCAUUCAAACUAGCCCGCUCCUCUCAUCUUUGACUCUACAUGCUUAGUCUCCCUUGUAUCCGUUAACCUAGACUUAGUCUCUCCUAUAUAUAUUGUAACCUUGCUGAUUAAUGAAGUUAACGAGAUUGAGAGACUCUUAUCUCUUGUGUUCAUCAUGAUUCUCACUCAACCUCAGUCUUAGUUCUUAUAAUCUCUCAUACACUCUCAAAUCUAUCUAUUUCUCUUCUUAAAUCACUCAAUACUUUUUGUAUUCUCUAAAAUCAUAUGGUAUCAGAGCCAGGUUGGCUUUGGUAUUGAGUUUCUGAUAAGUUCUUCAUCUUCUUUCAAAAGAUCUAGCGGGUUCUUUAUGAUUUUAGAGAGUUGAACAGGUAUUGAGAGAUUUAGAGAAAGAUUAAAGUGAGAUGAGAUGAUUUAUGAAAUGUAGAAGAGAAACAUGAUGAACUAGAGAGAGAAUAUGAUGAACUCGUGUUAUUCAUUAAUCAAGACAGAGUUUACAAUAUAUAGAGAGAGACAUUAGGGUAUUAGGAAACGCUAAGCAUGUGAGGUCAAGGAUAAGAUUGCUUUAAUUCAAAUGUAAACCAAUGGGAGCUGUCACACGCUUUUGGCAUCUUGGACUCGGUUCCUUUUGCCUUUACAGCAUGUGCCAGACUGUCAGGAUAAGCCGCGGUCACUCCCUCCAUCCAAACGGUCAUAUCUCCUAAGGUAAAACCCCUUUGGCCGUUUAACCCUUUCACCCGGGUAACUUCCCGCUUGGUCGAGUUAUGGAUCGACCCGGACAGUACGGACAGUACGGCCGGUACGGCCUCUUGUACGGCCUGGUCGAUCCCUAACCUUCCUUCCCUUUUCCUCCACAUUCUCACAUCCUCAACUCCUUAAGCCAUCUCCUCAUAUACUGAACCACUUAUUUUCACAUUCUUCACUGAAGCAUACAAGACAAAAUGCAGAGCCAGGUUGGCUUUGGUAUUGAGUUUCUGAUAAGUUCUUCAUCUUCUUUCAAAAGAUCUAGUGGGUUCUUCACUGAAGCAUACAAGACAAAAUGGAGGGACACUACAAGGUGAUUACGGUACCGGUGGCUCUAAAGGGUAGUGGAAACUACCUGCUGUGGUCAAGGCUGGUGAAGACAGCCAUUGGGAGGCUAGGGUUGUGGAGUCACAUCACGGAUGAGACACCAUGACCAGUGGCCAAGGAAGGAGAAGGAGGUGGAGGUGAAGGAGAUCAAGUGGCGGCCGCCGAGAAGAAAUGGAUACAAGAGGACUUAAUGGUGCUUUCAGUGCUACAAGGCUCUCUUGAGGUCCAUCUCUUAGAUGCCUACAGCUACUGUGAGACUCCUAAGCACCUAUGGGAAACACUCCUGAAGACCUUUGGGAACACAACCAAUCUGAGCCGGGUGUUUGAGCUCAAGAGAGCCAUCAACAACCUUGCGCAAGAAGAGGAGGAGUUCUCUAAACACUUGGGAAAGUACAGAUCUCUCUGGUCUGAGCUGGAGACCUUGAGGCCAAGCACCAUUGAUCAAGAGACUCUCAUGGAGAGGAGGGAACAAGAUCAAGUGUUUGGUUUGAUGCUGACUUUGAAUCCGGCCUUUGGUGAUGUUAUUAAGCACAUUCUGAGGUCUCCAAACCUUCCAUCUAUGGAGGAGGUGUGUGCACAACUCCAGAAGGAAGAAGGGACUCUCGGCUUGUUUGGGGGAAGAGGGGAUGUGGCUCUAUCCAACAAGGCUGAGGCAAUCCAAGCAAACAAAGCUGCUUACCGUGGAGAUGAAAGGAAGUUUAGUGGGAACUGUGAUCAUUGCAAGAAGCCAGGGCACAAGAGGAGUCAGUGCUGGAUUCUACACCCCCACUUGAAGCCGGCCAAGUUCAACAAGGAGAGGGAGGGAAGAGCUCACCUUUCUGCAGAGACAAGUGAAGCCGGCACAUCAGGAGCUGGUUCAUCUGGUCAUGCGGGUGAAAGUGAAGGAAGAGCUUUAGCUUCUCACCUCCAAGGAGCCGGGAAGAACAUGGAGCAUGAGGUGAUUAGGAAGUCUGACAUUGAUGCCCUGAUCAAAGCCCUCAAAGAGUCUGGUAACCCCAUUGAACACACUCUUGGUUAUUCAUACUCUGCUCGUGUGUUAUCUAGAACUUGUGAUAGGCUGCUAGAUAAUCUUGAUAAUAUGAACAUGGGAGAUGGAAAGCAUAGGACUUAUGCUGCUGAAAAAACACCUAGAACUAAUGAUAAGUUGCUAGAUGUUAUAGAUAAAUUAAAACUGAUGAUCAAACUGCCUAGUACUCACCUUGCUCAAGGUAUAAAACCAUUGAUUGUAGAUUCAGGUGCUUCACAUCAUAUGAUAAGUGAUGAUAGUCUUAUAAAGAACAUAGAACCAGCUCAUGGACAUGUAAUGAUUGCAAAUGGUGAUAGAAUACCUAUUAAAGGAGUAGGAGACUUAAAACUAUUUAAUAAGGAUUCUAAAGCUUUGUACAUGCCUGAGUUUACUUCUAACCUUCUAUCUGUUAAGAGAUGCACCAAUGAUCUUCAAUGCAAUGUUAUUUUCAGUCCUAAUGAUGUGAAAUUUCAGGAUAUUGAGAGCAAUAAGUUGAUUGGGCAAGGAGUAACCAAAGGAGAUCUUUAUUUACUUGAAGACAUUGCCCCUAUCUCUAGUUCUAGUUGCUUGUUGAGUUCUGUUUUAAGUAAAGGUGCAUUAUGGCAUUCUAGGCUAGGACAUCCACAUGUUAGAGCCUUGAGCUUAAUGUUACCAGGUGUCAUGUUUAAAAAUAAUGAUUGUGAAGCUUGUAUUUUGGGAAAACAUUGUAAGACUGUGUUUAAGAGGUCCACUACUAUCUAUGAUAAAUGCUUUGAUCUUAUUCAUUCUGAUGUGUGGACUGCUCCCUGCCUAUCUAGAGAUAAUUACAAGUACUUUGUCACAUUCAUAGAUGAAAAAUCCAAAUACACCUGGAUAACACUAAUCAAAACAAAGGAUAGGGUUCUUGAUGCAUUUAAAAACUUUCAAUCAUAUGUGUCUAACCAAUAUAAUGCCAAGAUUAAGAUUUUCAGGUCUGAUAAUGGUGGAGAGUAUACUGGCCACGCAUUCAAGAAUCACUUAGCUCAGUAUGGAAUCCUGCAUCAGACGAGUUGCCCCUAUACACCCCAACAAAAUGGUGUGGCGGAGAGGAACCUCAACAAAAUGGAGUGGCUGAGAGGAAGAACAGACAUCUGAUGGAAGUGGCUAGAUCAAUGAUGUUCCAGAUGAGUGUGCCAAAGAGAUUCUGGAGUGAUGCUGUGAUUACUGCAUGUUAUCUGAUCAAUAGGAUACCAACCAGGAUCUUGGAGGAUCAAUCACCUUAUGAAGUUCUCAACAAGAGCAAGCCGGUUCUAGAUCACUUGAGAGUAUUUGGUUGUGUAAGCUUUGUUCUGAUUCCGGGAGAAACAAGAAACAAGCUUGAAGCCAAGAGUAUAAGGGCUAUGAUGAUUGGUUAUUCUACUACACAGAAGGGAUACAAGUGCUUUGUUCCAGAAACGAGAAGGGUACUUGUAUCUAGAGAUGUGAAGUUCCUGGAAGACAAGAGCUACUAUGAGGACAAAGAGUGGAAAGACUUGGAAGAUCUUUCACGACCAUCUGAUAGAGCUACAAGUCUAAGACAGAUACUAGAAGGACUUGGGAUUGGAGUGACCCAGGAUCAGAGUGAAGAACACUCAUCAGAGGUACAUGAAGCUGAAGAACCAACUCACGUUGAUCAUGAGGGAGGGAAUGGAACUGAGAAUGAGAACCAAGACUCAGAACUUCCUGAUCAACGUGAGACUCAAGAGGUAGAUGAACCUGAUAAUGGAGAGUACCAUGAAGAUCAGGAACAAGAGAAUGGAGAAACAACUGAAGUAGAAGAGACUCAGCAAGCGCCAACUACUGCUGUUCCAUUAAGAAGAAGUACACGGCUGAAGAGAGAUGCUUCCAACUGGGUAAACACGAGAGUGUACUACAAUGCCCAAGCUGUGGAGCAUCCCUCUCAAGCCGUGUGUUCAUUUGCUACAUUCCCAGAUCAGCAUUGCACAUUUAUGAUGAGUUUAGAUAAGAGCUUUGUACCUAGAUCACAUGAGGAAGCAAUGCUACAUGAAGACUGGAAGGAAUCAGUUGAUGAUGAGGCCAAUGCUAUGAUUAAAAAUGAUACAUGGUAUGAGAGUGAGUUACCAAAGGGAAAGAAGGCAGUAAGCAGCAAGUGGAUAUUCACAAUCAAGUAUAAGCCUGAUGGAACCAUUGACAGAAAGAAAACAAGACUGGUUGCUAGAGGAUACACUCAGACCUAUGGAGAAGAUUACAUAGAUACAUUUGCUCCUGUUGCCAAGCUACAUACAAUCAGAAUUGUAUUAUCUGUUGCUGUAAACCUUGGAUGGGAGCUAUGGCAAAUGGAUGUGAAGAAUGCAUUUCUCCAAGGAGAACUAGAAGAUGAGGUGUAUAUGCACCCACCACCAGGUCUUGAGCAUCUAGUGAAGCCAGGAAACGUUUUGAGACUCAAGAAGGCAAUCUAUGGACUAAAACAGUCCCCUAGAGCAUGGUACAACAAGCUAAGUACUACACUGAAUGGGCGUGGCUUCAGGAAGUCAGAACUUGAUCAUACCCUUUUCACUCUCACAACACCUUC